GAGAGGCAGAAAUGGAGGUUGGGUCAGGCCUGGCUCAGACCCUAGGCUCUGUCACUGACUGGCUGUGUGGGUCCAGGAAAGUCCUUGUCCUCUCUGGGCCUCAGUUUCCUCUGAAGAAUGGGAGUGAUAAGCUAUGCCCCAUCUCCUUCACCAAAAGGAAGCAAGACCUGAUGGAGCUGCUGGGUAACUGGAGAUGCCUCCUGCUGGCUCCUUUCUGGGGUCCCUGCCUAGCCCUGUCCUCUCCUCUUACUUUCUGCCCUGGCUGAGUAGGCUGUGGCCAUGUGGUUACUGCCUUCUCUGGGCAUAGCUGAUUGCUUCAUAUGGCCUGACCUAAGGCUGCAUGUCCAAAGUCUGGUUGGUGGCCAGUCUAACUCACUUUUGAGAACCUGCACUAAAAGAGGUAGGGGGUGGGAAAAACUGGGCAGGCCAGCGGAGGUGGGGAGUGGCAGCUCUGAGACCUGAAGCCUCAGAACCAGCUCUCCUCCUCCUCUUCCUCCUCAAGAUGGACCUCAACUCACUGAACUCUGGUUCACUCUUUUGGUCCCAGAGCUAAUUCUUUGGUUGUUUAAGGUUUAGCAUAGGAGACCCCAAAGCAGCAAGGUUCUGGCCCUGGUUCUGCCACUUGCCAGCUCCACGCCCUCAGAUCAGUGGCUUCAGAGCCUCAACGUGCUCAGCUGUGAAACAGGGACAGGGUGAGGCCUUCCCAGGUAUGAUCCACUGUGCCCAUCCUGGAUGCAGACUUUAAGCAGAGUCACAUCAACAAGAAGAGCUGUGAAGGUCAGGGCAUGACCCACAGAUGCCCAAACACUGCACUGGAGGUCCAGGAAGAUUCUGCUGACAACGCAACCCUGAGCCAAGAUCUGAAGGAUAAGAGGGAGCUUAUAACAUGGAAGAAGGAACAGUAUUCCUGGCAAGUGGAACAGCAUGUGCAAAGAUCCAGAAAGCCCAGGACAUAACAGAGCCGCAGUGCCUGCCCUGAUCCACGCGCACACAGAUCUAGCCCAGGAACAAGCCCAUCCACGGUGAGGAACUUGUGGCCCAGUGGCUGGAGCCUCUCACCUGAGCCCUCACUGCCUGAGGACCCCCAGCCUCUGGCCUCAUUUCCCACCCUUUGCCAGCCAGCCUUGGGGACAAAACAGGUCUGGAUCUAAUCCAAGGUCUGGACUCACCCUGACACCCUGUGAACUCAAGGCCUUCCCUACCUCACCCUGGGCCCAGAGCCCCUACCUGUAAAGUGGAAGUGGGAAUGGCCACCAGCCAGGCAGAAACCCUCACUUAGGGCCUCAUGGCCAGGCAUCAGGACAGUCAGGAGAGGGGCCGAGGUAAGCCACAGAGGCCCUGCCUGUCUUGGUAUCCCACCAUCGCCAGGAGGGGACUGCAUGGGCAUCACACCCCUCACAGAUGAACAAAGUGAGGCAGAGAAGGGCCUCAAGAUGAGUUAGGGGCGAGGCCCCAGCUCUGCUGCUGCCCCUUCCCUUAUCACCCCUGCAGCCUGGGAUGCGAGGGUGGCCAGUGACAGACCCCAAGGACUCUAGGCUAAGGUCUCCUUACCUGCGUUCUGUGGCCUGCUCCCCGCCUGCAUGCCGCCUCAUGGGGGUCCUCUGGCUGGCCCAGGAGCACGGUUGGCCCAGCAGAGCAGCUCAGUGUUAUGGGGAAGGGAGGCCCAGCCCACCACGCCGACCGCCUGGGGCCCUAUGUAUAUUUAAUGAUGUCUAUUAUUCCUGUUUUGUCUCUGGAAAGGAGUGAGCAGCUGACAGGGGAGCCACGAACAGCCUGGAGAGCUGAGCAUGGGCCUGCUCCACACUCCAGCGGGGCCCGAGGCCCCCGGGAACUCUACCCCUCCUGGCAGCCUCACAGAACCUGCUGCAUCCAUCUCAAAAGGCAUACCUCCUCCAGGAAGCCUUCCCCGCUGCUCAGAGGUCUUAAAUCCGGGGUCUGCACUCACAAACUGUGCAGCCUACACCAGCUUCUGGGGGACAGCAGAACACUGUGGGGGGCCUGGCACAGUCCCUGGCACACGGUAGGCACUCAUCGAGCCCCUGCCAGCCCCUCUACUCCUGACUUCUGAGGCAACAGGAAAUGACCCGCCACCUUGUUCUCACAGAGCCUCCCUGCCAGCCCAGAUGGUCACAAGGGCCUCCUGGGAUGCUGCCCACCUUGGCAGCCAGGCCCCUCCGGAGGGGCCAGUCUGGGCCUGACACCCCCGAACACCAACCCCCUGGGCAGAGCCUGCCUGUGCCUGGGUGAGGAACCCUGCAGUCUCCUUGCCACACAAGGCCUGGGUCUGCCUUGGGGCCCAGGCUGCACCCUC
rnacentral:lncRNA from 1 species